rnacentral:rRNA from 1 species
AGUUAGAGGUUCGAAGGCGAUCAGAUACCGCCCUAGUUCUAACCAUAAACGAUGCCAGCUAGCGAUCCGCGGGUGUUUUUUUUGUAGGCUCCGCGGGAAGCUUCCGGGAAACCAAAGCUUGUGGGUUCCGGGGGAAGUAUGGUUGCAAAGCUGAAACUUAAAGGAAUUGACGGAAGGGCACCACCAGGAGUGGAGCCUGCGGCUUAAUUUGACUCAACACGGGAAAUCUCACCAGGCCCGGACACUGGAAGGAUUGACAGAUUGAGAGCUCUUUCUCGAUUCGGUGGGUGGUGGUGCAUGGCCGUUCUUAGUUGGUGGAGUGAUUUGUCUGGUUAAUUCCGAUAACGAACGAGACUCUGUCCUGCUAAAUAGUUGUCGCGUCAUCUUUGCGCGGCAAAGAUCUUCUUAGAGGGACUGGUGGCUUUUAGUCACACGAGAUUGAGCAAUAACAGGUCUGUGAUGCCCUUAGAUGUUCUGGGCUGCACACGCGCUACACUGAAGAGAUCAGCAUGUUUACCCUUCCCGAGAGGGAUGGGAAACCCGUUGAACCCUCUUCGUGGUAGGGAUCGGAGCUUGCAAUUAUUCUCCGUGAACCAGGAAUUCCCAGUAAGCGCAAGUCAUAAGCUUGCGUUGAUUACGUCCCUGCCCUUUGUACACACCGCCCGUCGCUACUACCGAUUGAACGUUUUAGUGAGGUAUUUGGACUGGUUUCCCAUUGCCUUUUUGUGUCAAUGGCGUUUACUGGAAAGACUCCCAAACUUGAGCGUUUAGAGGAAGUA